CGCCCCCACCCCAGUGUGCCCGAAGACCCCCGCAGAUCCCUCCCCCUCCAGAGGCCUGGCCUCCCUCUAGUUGGGUGGACGAAGAAGGAGGUGGUGCCAGCAGGGGGUCACAUCAGAACCCGUGACAGACACCCCGUUAUUCUCAUGCAAUUCGCCAACCAAAAACUGUAUUUCUUAUACUGCCACCAAAUCGUCCCUUGCUUCUAUCAGCCUUGCCAAAACUCAAGUACUGAUGGUCCUCAGGAAAUUACAGUUUUUACUGUGUCGUCUUUCACUGGGAGUAAUUUUAACAAAUUCUUCCAGGAUAGCUUAACUUUUAGUAGAUAAAUCAAGCUCGGUGUCUGUAUUUGUUUAUUUGUUUAUGCUUUGUCAAACAGAUGACAGUUUUUGGGGUUUUGACUGGUGCACGCUGAUUCCUGUGACCCUGUUCUCGGGGGUCUGGAGCCUUAGCUGGGCACCCUUCCCCAUUUCUGAGGUCCUAUGACCGACCUCCAUGAUUUGAAUACUGAUUUCACUUUGUCCCUCGGUUAAUUUCGAAAGCUCUUCUAACAGCCAUGGAAUCAACAAAGCUGGGGAAUAUUUGUUGACUGUCGUAGGAGAUGUAUCUCAGCACAACUGAACUGGGUCCUUCAGCCAGAGAACAACCCUUUUGCACAGAGAGUAUCAGGGCUGAAAGGAACAUCCAAGUUUAUCUGACAGCUAGAUCGAAUCCGCCUUCCUGAAGACCGCUGUCGCUGCAGAUGGCUUUGUGUGCCCCUGGGCCUCCGUCUCUGGGUGAAACGCCACCACAGCCCACAAGACCAUCGCUGGACUCCUCGCCGGCCGCGUGGCCUCUCUCUGGAUGCGACCCAGGUAGAUGAACUGGGCACCGACUGUGAACGGAGCACUGGCUGGGCGCUGGGGAUGUGAUGGUGAACAAGGUCGCAGAUCCGCCUCUGAGAACUCGCCGUCUAGUUAAGGACGACGUGCUAAGGGAAAGCGCGUAUGUUCCGUGGUGUUAGGUGCUGGGCGGAAUGAUAAACACGUAAUGAUAAAUAUUACAUAGGUAACAUGAUGUGCAUGGGACAAGUACACAUCAUUAGGGAGGGAAGAGGGGGGUAGGUCCCCGGACAGCAGGGGUCCUCGUAGCAAAGCAUCCAAUACCCUCGAUGACUCACUAUUCCAGGUGGGUGCGUCCCUGCUCCACCUUCAGGGACCCUGAUUCCCCGAGUCACUGCCCUGCCGCCCCCUGAGAUAACGUCUUCGUGUGUAGAGUUGAGGCCGGUCGCAGGCCUGUCCCGGGUCCCGCCU